AGAGAGAGAGAGAGAGGUCUGAAUGGGGAGGGGGAGACCUAAAGAGAAGAUGGAAGUCAGGGAGUGGUCUUUCAAGAUGUGCUCAGCACGCUCUAAAGGGGAGGGUGGCACAGCUUGGGAAUGCACUGCUGCCUGCUUUAGUGCCCACUCAAGGACAGGGUUCCAUGUGGUUCUAUUCAUCCCUCACCUUCUCCCUUCUCCCCCUAGGGAGGUGUUCGAGCCAACUGUGGAAAGGGGUGAACUGGUAGUCAGGUACCGUGCCCGAAAGUCCUACAGUCGCCGGACCACGGAAGCCACCUGUAAGUGAACUCCACAUAGAGAACUGGGCGGCUGCAGACGGCCUGAGCUUCUGUAGAUGUCUGAGAUGAGUUUCUGGAAGUCUUUAGAACACUAGGGUGUUAGAGCCUCGGGCCCUAGGCACAGUGAAGCUUGGACCACACACAGCUUUAGAACGGGAGAAGAUAGGGCGUUGUGUAUUCUCAGCACUGGGACAAAAACAAAACAAAACCAAACCAAAACAAAACAAAAAAACCAGCUUCAAGAAGGCUCGUUGUGGUUGGGGAUUUAGCUCAGCGGUAGAGCGCUUGCCUAGCAGGCGCAAGGCCCUGGGUUCGAUCCCCAGCUCCG
rnacentral:lncRNA from 1 species